CCUGCUCAAGUGGUGCCUUAAGUAUGGUCUUCUCUGCUAUCUGCUAUUGGACUGUCACAUUAGGAGAUGCUGAUACAAUUUCUUCUGUUUCAGGGCAGGAGUUAAGAGAUCUUGGCUACUGAAGUUGGGCUUUUGGAUGUGGGGAUUGAACCAGAUCUUGAGGCAGCUGUCAAGAAUCUGCAUUAUUCCCAGACUACUCCUGUACCAACCCACCUGGGCAUCCACCAAGGCUGUUGAGCUUCCAUCCAGCUUAUACCAACUAAACAUGUAACCAGUGUGGAUUUGGUUGCACUGAACAGACCUGUUAUUCUAUCACCAUGAACUUGAUGUGCCCAAGUAAAUCAUAACAAAUGGGAUCUAGUCCAUAUCACCUGGGGAGUGAAGAAAGUUCCUAGAAAAUACACGCCACCAAAAAGAUGGAGUAGACUAAGACAGAGGAAAACCUGACUUCCAAGAAACAGGAAAUCCCACACAGAGAGAGGUCAAGAAAAUUUCCAAGUUGUUGGUAAUGUGAAACUUCAAGAUGCAUGUGUAUGGUGACCUCAGAAAACAACCAACCCAGUUAGAAGUGGAGGAAGAGGACUCUAGUAGAAGUGUGUCUGUUAGUCAGUUUUCUAUCACUAUAAUAAAUACCUGAGACAAUCAACUUAUAAAGAGAAAAAGGUUAUUUUGGCUCAUGGUUUUAGAGAUUCCAGUCCAUGAUUGGGCAGCCCCAUGGGUUUUUAGCCUCUCGUGGGUGUGCAGGAUAAUAAUGGUGGGGAGCAUGUAGCAGAGCAAAACUGCUCAUCUCGUGACCAGCUACCAAAGAGAGAGAGAUGGAGAGAGAGAGAGGAAGAGAGAGAAGUGGCUGCCACAAGCCUCUUCAAGAUCCAAACUAUAGCACUAUCCAAGAAAAAAAAAUGAAUAGAUUAAUGUCUUCAACUGGCUUUUACCUUUGUCAAAGUCCUUAGGGUUGAUUAAGUAGAAAAAACACAACAAAUGAAGUUAAAAAGUGAGACCAUUAUUAACCAGAAAAAAAAAAAUUCAUUAAAACACAUAAACUUAAAAAAAGCAUUAAACAUCAAGAGUUUUAAAAAUUAGGAAAACCAAAACCUAUGCAGGAAAGAAAAUUUAAUUAGCUGUGAACUUUAUUUAUAUACUCACGAUGAUAUAAAUGCUGAAAAAAUUAUGUUAUGACUACUUGGGGAAGAUGAAGGGAAGGCAAGGGAGCAGUAUUGAGAAGCAUCCUCCUAAAAGUAAAAAAGUUAGGUUCAAAUAGCCAAGGAGUUAUUUGAAUCAAUCAUGAUUUCCUUUGGACAGUAAGAAUAGGGGUUUUAGGAAGGUGGGGCAGGAGAUUGCUAUUUUUUGUUAUAUCUUAAAUGACUCUAAUAUAUUAAUUUUGACUUUAAUGUGCAAGAUAAAAUUUAAAAACUAUUAUAACAUAUGUAAACAAUCCCCUGACUUCCAGUUUGAUGUGUCAAGUCAAAUUCUUCAGCCUGGCCAUACAGUUUCUCCAUAAUCCACGCUCACUCUUCCUCUGCAAUUUUAUCUGUGUCUUUUCCCUCCCCAUCUUCUUAUAUACUUGUUCUAGUUAAGAACAAUUUACUUGGUCUUCCUCAACUUCUUAAAAAAUAUCAUUCACUGGUUUGGGGUAUACUCUCUUCUCUUUGAUCCCAAAGCCUACUAGUGGAUGGAACCAAGAAGCACUGAAGUGAAGGUUAUCCUCUUAGGACAACAUUAAAAAGCACCAAAGUUGGGGGCUUUGCACCAUAGUGUAAUGGACAAGAUCAGUCAUCAGCAGAUUGAGGGUUUAUUAAGCUGAGACAAAACAAGUUAAUAGAAGGUGGUCUAUGUGCUUCCAUGAAAUAAUUCCUCAAAUUAUUCAACAUAAAUUCAUUAAGUGCCUACCAUGUGCCAGGGAUAUAUUACCCUGGGAGCAUAUAACAAAAAGAGAUAUAAACACCGAGAAUCCCGAGGGAUGAAGAUAUUGCAGUGAGUCUAGAGGAUUAUAGCUUUCUAGAAAAGAUGGGUCCCUGAGCAACUACAAAUGCCUCAUCUACUAAGCAGACAGGGUCUCUGUAGAGAGGGACCUUCAGUCUUGGUGCUUGA